rnacentral:rRNA from 1 species
UACGUGNCAGCAGCCGCGGUAAUACGUAGGUCCCGAGCGUUNUCCGGAUUUAUUGGGCGUAAAGCGAGCGCAGGCGGUUAGAUAAGUNUGAAGUUAAAGGCUGUGGCUUAACCAUAGUACGCUUUGGAAACUGUUUAACUNGAGUGCAGAAGGGGAGAGUGGAAUUCCAUGUGUAGCGGUGAAAUGCGUAGAUAUAUGGAGGAACACCGGUGGCGAAAGCGGCUCUCUGGUCUGUAACUGACGCUGAGGCUCGAAAGCGUGGGGAGCGAACAGGAUUAGAUACCCUGGUAGUNCACGCCGUAAACGAUGAGUGCUAGGUGUUAGGCCCUUUCCGGGGCUUAGUGCCGCAGCUAACGCAUUAAGCACUCCGCCUGGGGAGUACGACCGCAAGGUUGAAACUCAAAGGAAUUGACGGGGGCCCGCACAAGCGGUGGAGCAUGUGGUUUAAUUCGAAGCAACGCGAAGAACCUUACCAGGUCUUGACAUCCCGAUGCCCGCUCUAGAGAUAGAGUUUUACUUCGGUACAUCGGUGACAGGUAGUGCAUGGUUGUCGUCAGCUCGUGUCGUGAGAUGUUGGGUUAAGUCCCGCAACGAGCGCAACCCUUAUUGUUAGUUGCCAUCAUUCAGUUGGGCACUCUAGCGAGACUGCCGGUAAUAAACCGGAGGAAGGUGGGGAUGACGUCAAAUCAUCAUGCCCCUUAUGACCUGGGCUACACACGUGCUACAAUGGCUGGUACAACGAGUCGCAAGUCGGUGACGGCAAGCUAAUCUCUUAAAGCCAGUCUCAGUUCGGAUUGUAGGCUGCAACUCGCCUACAUGAAGUCGGAAUCGCUAGUAAUCGCGGAUCAGCACGCCGCGGUGAAUACGUUCCCGGGCCUUGUACACACCGCCCGUCACACCACGAGAGUUUGUAACACCCGAAGUCGGUGAGGUAACCAUUUGGAGCCAGCCGCCUAAGG